AAACUUCAGGCCCUUCUACCACCUUGGAAUCCAUGCAGCAAACUUCCGUGGGAAGGGGAGCUAUGGAGUGAGUUGUCCCAUUAUUCCGAAUUUACAAGAAAGGAAUGUGAGAAAACAGCCAACUAGAUGGCCUGGAUGGAGAGACACAGGCCUAUGCCUACUUUGGGGUACCACAUAACGCCACUGCCCUCAUCUCUGACUCCAGACCAUAGAGACACAUUCAAAGGAGUCUUUCUUUGAAGAAGAAGAAGAAAAAAAGGCAUCAUCUUUGGACUUGAGCAGAUAGAACCUGAAGUCCAUGUUCUACAUUAUCUCUGGACCAGUGGAGCUGGGGAAAUGUCCUUAUUCACUCCUCCCAACUAACAACAGCAUGGGGUUGUUUGAAGUUGGGCUUCCUAUUGGAAGAGCGCUGGGUUCCACUCUUGACUCCAGUAGACAAGAAGGGGGCGAGAAAGACGGCCACACUGUCAAGAGUCCUUGCUGUUCCUCACAGGACCCCAGUUGAGACCCCAGCACCCACCUCAUGGCUCAGAACUAAAGAACUGUAACUCCAGUUU